ensembl:lncRNA
UCUCAAGUUAUAAGCCUUUGAAUCUCAGCAGGCGCUCUUGGAAAAAAAGGACCCAAGCAAAACGCACAGACUACCUUUAGAAAAACAAUUGUGAAAAAUCAAUUUUUUAGUCUUUUGACUUUAAAUUUUGAGUGUAGCAAGCUGAGACCUGUGGCUAUGGCCUAAUGUGUCUGCUGUGUCCAUAGACACACCUGAGCCCUUAUAUCUUAGUCAGUUUAUUGACAUUUGAAUUGGACGGAAACCAAAACCUGUUCCAACCUCUGUAACUCUGUGUCAGUAUGUCAUAGAAUCACACUUACACUUCGGAAAACACUUGAGCGUGUUACCUUUCCAAUGGUACCAAGCACAUCCCCGAGUCUCAAACUGUGUGGAGCUGUCAUGGUUUUAAUUUCAGUAUGUCGUAUGUCGAGGUUAAUGCUUGGUCCUGAUCAGAACCUGAGUGUGAGUGUUUGGUCCUGCAGUUGUUGAGUCGUGUCGCUCCUCCUCAGGUGAAACAUGGCCAUCACCUGGCUCGUCGUCGUCAUGGCGGUCGCCGUCUUCGUCUCCAUGGUGCUGCUGGCGGUGGUGUGUGUGCGCUGCAGGACCGACGGGCCUCUGGUGUCCAUCAGACAGGCGACAGAGGAAUCCACUGAGUUCAGAGUCAUCCACCCAGCCCAGCCAACAAUCGGUCGUAACUCCGUCCAUCCUUCCUCCAACCUGCUGUCGCCUUACUCUCCUUCAGUCGAUCUCGGGACUCAGAGGAAACACAGAUCCUUCACCACAGAAACUGAGAGUAAUCCCAGCUAUGAGAAUCCAGCUGACGGUCCCGACUACAUAAACGAGAGCGACGGAGAUGAAUCCGGAUACAUAGUCGUGCUGCCUGAAGGUGACGCUCCCCCCGAUCAGAGCCGACCCUCCACGCCCAGCUCAGAUAAUCUACAUGAUUAUGAAAACAUCCCAACAAAGGAAGACGCAGCUUCCACCAACAAGUCGUCGGUCAGCCCGAGUCCGACCCGGCUGUCUGAGGACGGAGACGACGACGACCGAGAGUAUCUGAAUGUGGAACCGCUGCACUCUCAAAAUCCGUCGACUGACAGCGACACCGAGGACGAUGACGAGGGGAACUACGUCAACGUGAACAGCAGCGUCUGAAGGACGUCAGCCGCCUGCUUCCUCCUCCACCUUCCACUGCCGGCGGUGUUUAAUUCAAAGUGUUGAACUGAGAAAAGAAAGUGAUUUGUGUCCGAGGUGCUGAAGGUUCUGCUCAGGUCGGGUCUCAUGUCAUGAUCUUUAUUUUAAACCCAGCUGAGGAGACACUCAUCAUCUCUCACCAGUAAUUAUCUUCAGCUAUCUGUUUUAAUAAUGACGUCAACGACCUCCAACAGUCAGACGUCACUGAGCGUCGGUCCGGUCCGGUCCGGUCCGGUCCAGAACCGGUUUAUCUUUCUUUCUUUCUUCUCUACUUUGAUUUUCUCUCUUUCCUCCGACAGAACGACUCGUCUGUUCACUUCCAGCUUUACUUUCAUUUACUGACAACUCCUGAGAAUGUCUGAGCUCACAAAACGUUUGUUUUUCACAGUGUAUUUAUGUGUUGUUGUUGCCAUGGUUACUGUGUCUCUGGAUCUGUGUGAACUAGAAUUUUUUUUUAAAUAACUACAAUUAAACUUUAACAGAAAUGUGACGUCUCUGGUUUUCUCUGUUUCUGUCGUCGUCUGUUCGCGAGUUUGAAACCGAGCAGACGACUUUAAAUGAAUCCAAACACUUUGUUUAUUAUUAAUGAGUAAAAACUACAUUUGUGAAGAACAAAUUAUCAGGAGAAAUUUGUAUUUUUCAUAAUUUUUUAACAUCUGUGAAAUUUUUUAGGAUUUUUAUUUCAC